rnacentral:rRNA from 1 species
AUCGAACGUUUGCGGCAGGUCUAACACACGCAAGUCGGCCGACCGGCGGACGGGCGAGCAACGUAUGGGGACCUGCCUGAAGGUGGGGGAUAACUACUGGAAACGGUAGCUAAUACCGCUUACUAUCCGACGACCUCAUAUGGGAUUAGCUUGUAGGUGGGGUAACGGCUCACCUAGGCGACGAUCCCUAGCUGGUCUGAGAGGAUGAUCAGCCACACUGGGACUGAGACACGGCCCAGACUCCUACGGGAGGCAGCAGUGGGGAAUAUUGCACAAUGGGCGCAAGCCUGAUGCAGCCAUGCCGCGUGUAUGAAGAAGGCCUUCGGGUUGUAAAGUACUUUCAGUCGGGAGGCGUUACCGACAGAAGAAGCACCGGCUAACUCCGUGCCAGCAGCCGCGGUAAUUC